rnacentral:rRNA from 1 species
AGUGAACGCUGGCGGUAGGCCUAACACAUGCAAGUCGAACGGCAGCACAGUAAGAGCUUGCUCUUACGGGUGGCGAGUGGCGGACGGGUGAGGAAUACAUCGGAAUCUACUUUUUCGUGGGGGAUAACGUAGGGAAACUUACGCUAAUACCGCAUACGACCUACGGGUGAAAGCAGGGGAUCUUCGGACCUUGCGCGAUUGGAUGAGCCGAUGUCGGAUUAGCUAGUUGGCGGGGUAAAGGCCCACCAAGGCGACGAUCCGUAGCUGGUCUGAGAGGAUGAUCAGCCAAACUGGAACUGAGACACGGUCCAGACUCCUACGGGAGGCAGCAGUGGGGAAUAUUGGACAAUGGGCGCAAGCCUGAUCCAGCCAUACCGCGUGGGUGAAGAAGGCCUUCGGGUUGUAAAGCCCUUUUGUUGGGAAAGAAAAGCAGCAGGUUAAUACCCCGCUGUUCUGACGGUACCCAAAGAAUAAGCACCGGCUAACUUCGU